rnacentral:ncRNA from 1 species
AAGAUUUUCAAUUUCGGUAUCGCUGUAUCUCAUCGUCAUUCGUACCUCUCUCUCUUACCCCGGUUAGUUUCGCCGGGGUUUUU